AGCGAACGCUGGCGGCAGGCCUAACACAUGCAAGUCGAGCGAGCUCUUCGGGGCUAGCGGCGGACGGGUGAGUAACGCGUGGGAACGUGCCCUUCUCUACGGAAUAGCCUCGGGAAACUGAGAGUAAUACCGUAUACGCCCUUCGGGGGAAAAAUUUAUCGGAGAAGGAUCGGCCCGCGUUGGAUUAGGUAGUUGGUGGGGUAAUGGCCUACCAAGCCGACGAUCCAUAGCUGGUUUGAGAGGAUGAUCAGCCACACUGGGACUGAGACACGGCCCAGACUCCUACAGGAGGCAGCAGUGGGGAAUCUUAGACACUGGUGGAAACCAUGAUCUAGCCAUGCCGCGUGAGUGACGAAGGCCUUAGGGUCGUAAAGCUCUUUCGCUGGGGAAGAUAAUGACGGUACCCAGUAAAGAAACCCCGGCUAACUCCGUGCCAGCCGCCGCCGUAACAC
rnacentral:rRNA from 1 species